rnacentral:misc_RNA from 1 species
UUAAGUUCAGCGGGUAGUCCUACCUGAUUCGAGGUCAAGUUUCAAAGUUUCGUCUUUCGACGACGAUCUAGAAGCGCUGACUUCACGACGCCCGCUAGCACUCCAGCCACGACGAUCAUUAUCACGUCGAAGGCCGUUCAUGCAUGGUCAGAUCGCGCCGCCAUCGCUAAUGCUUUUAAGGAGAGCCGAAGACCCGAGGG